rnacentral:rRNA from 1 species
GACGAACCGUGCGAACGUUGUUCGGAAUCACUGGGCUUAAAGGGCGCGUAGGCGGGCCCGCAAGUCAGGGGUGAAAUCCCACGGCUCAACCGUGGAAGUGCCUUUGAUACUGCGGGUCUCGAGGGAGGUAGGGGCGUGCGGAACUUCCGGUGGAGCGGUGGAAAUGCGUAGAUAUCGGAAGGAACACCGGUGGCGAAAGCGGCGCGCUGGACCUCUUCUGACGCUGAGGCGCGAA